rnacentral:rRNA from 1 species
AUCCUGGCUCAGGAUGAACGCUAGCUACAGGCUUAACACAUGCAAGUCGAGGGGUAGCAGGAUCUAGCAAUAGAUCGCUGACGACCGGCGCACGGGUGAGUAACACGUAUCCAACCUGCCGCUUACUCGGGGAUAGCCUUUCGAAAGAAAGAUUAAUACCCGAUGGUAUAAAGAGUUCGCAUGUUCUCUUUAUUAAAGAAUUUCGGUAAACGAUGGGGAUGCGUUCCAUUAGAUAGUUGGCGGGGUAACGGCCCACCAAGUCUACGAUGGAUAGGGGUUCUGAGAGGAAGGUCCCCCACAUUGGAACUGAGACACGGUCCAAACUCCUACGGGAGGCAGCAGUGAGGAAUAUUGGUCAAUGGACGAGAGUCUGAACCAGCCAAGUAGCGUGAAGGAUGACUGCCCUAUGGGUUGUAAACUUCUUUUAUAAGGGAAUAAAGUGAGGGACGUGUCCCUUUUUGUAUGUACCUUAUGAAUAAGGAUCGGCUAACUCCGUGCCAGCAGCCGC